UUAAGCGACUAAGCGUACACGGUGGAUGCCCUGGCAGUCAGAGGCGAUGAAGGACGUGCUAAUCUGCGAUAAGCGUCGGUAAGGUGAUAUGAACCGUUAUAACCGGCGAUUUCCGAAUGGGGAAACCCAGUGUGUUUCGACACACUAUCAUUAACUGAAUCCAUAGGUUAAUGAGGCGAACCGGGGGAACUGAAACAUCUAAGUACCCCGAGGAAAAGAAAUCAACCGAGAUUCCCCCAGUAGCGGCGAGCGAACGGGGAGCAGCCCAGAGCCUGAAUCAGUGUGUGUGUUAGUGGAAGCGUCUGGAAAGGCGCGCGAUACAGGGUGACAGCCCCGUACACAAAAAUGCACAUGCUGUGAGCUCGAUGAGUAGGGCGGGACACGUGGUAUCCUGUCUGAAUAUGGGGGGACCAUCCUCCAAGGCUAAAUACUCCUGACUGACCGAUAGUGAACCAGUACCGUGAGGGAAAGGCGAAAAGAACCCCGGCGAGGGGAGUGAAAAAGAACCUGAAACCGUGUACGUACAAGCAGUGGGAGCACNGUGUGACUGCGUACCUUUUGUAUAAUGGGUCAGCGACUUAUAUUCUGUAGCAAGGUUAACCGAAUAGGGGAGCCGAAGGGAAACCGAGUCUUAACUGGGCGUUAAGUUGCAGGGUAUAGACCCGAAACCCGGUGAUCUAGCCAUGGGCAGGUUGAAGGUUGGGUAACACUAACUGGAGGACCGAACCGACUAAUGUUGAAAAAUUAGCGGAUGACUUGUGGCUGGGGGUGAAAGGCCAAUCAAACCGGGAGAUAGCUGGUUCUCCCCGAAAGCUAUUUAGGUAGCGCCUCGUGAAUUCAUCUCCGGGGGUAGAGCACUGUUUCGGCAAGGGGGUCAUCCCGACUUACCAACCCGAUGCAAACUGCGAAUACCGGAGAAUGUUAUCACGGGAGACACACGGCGGGUGCUAACGUCCGUCGUGAAGAGGGAAACAACCCAGACCGCCAGCUAAGGUCCCAAAGUCAUGGUUAAGUGGGAAACGAUGUGGGAAGGCCCAGACAGCCAGGAUGUUGGCUUAGAAGCAGCCAUCAUUUAAAGAAAGCGUAAUAGCUCACUGGUCGAGUCGGCCUGCGCGGAAGAUGUAACGGGGCUAAACCAUGCACCGAAGCUGCGGCAGCGACGCUUAUGCGUUGUUGGGUAGGGGAGCGUUCUGUAAGCCUGNAUGCUGGAGGUAUCAGAAGUGCGAAUGCUGACAUAAGUAACGAUAAAGCGGGUGAAAAGCCCGCUCGCCGGAAGACCAAGGGUUCCUGUCCAACGUUAAUCGGGGCAGGGUGAGUCGACCCCUAAGGCGAGGCCGAAAGGCGUAGUCGAUGGGAAACAGGUUAAUAUUCCUGUACUUGGUGUUACUGCGAAGGGGGGACGGAGAAGGCUAUGUUGGCCGGGCGACGGUUGUCCCGGUUUAAGCGUGUAGGCUGGUUUUCCAGGCAAAUCCGGAAAAUCAAGGCUGAGGCGUGAUGACGAGGCACUACGGUGCUGAAGCAACAAAUGCCCUGCUUCCAGGAAAAGCCUCUAAGCAUCAGGUAACAUCAAAUCGUACCCCAAACCGACACAGGUGGUCAGGUAGAGAAUACCAAGGCGCUUGAGAGAACUCGGGUGAAGGAACUAGGCAAAAUGGUGCCGUAACUUCGGGAGAAGGCACGCUGAUAUGUAGGUGAAGUCCCUCGCGGAUGGAGCUGAAAUCAGUCGAAGAUACCAGCUGGCUGCAACUGUUUAUUAAAAACACAGCACUGUGCAAACACGAAAGUGGACGUAUACGGUGUGACGCCUGCCCGGUGCCGGAAGGUUAAUUGAUGGGGUCAGCGCAAGCGAAGCUCUUGAUCGAAGCCCCGGUAAACGGCGGCCGUAACUAUAACGGUCCUAAGGUAGCGAAAUUCCUUGUCGGGUAAGUUCCGACCUGCACGAAUGGCGUAAUGAUGGCCAGGCUGUCUCCACCCGAGACUCAGUGAAAUUGAACUCGCUGUGAAGAUGCAGUGUACCCGCGGCAAGACGGAAAGACCCCGUGAACCUUUACUAUAGCUUGACACUGAACAUUGAGCCUUGAUGUGUAGGAUAGGUGGGAGGCUUUGAAGUGUGGACGCCAGUCUGCAUGGAGCCGACCUUGAAAUACCACCCUUUAAUGUUUGAUGUUCUAACGUUGACCCGUGAUCCGGGUUGCGGACAGUGUCUGGUGGGUAGUUUGACUGGGGCGGUCUCCUCCUAAAGAGUAACGGAGGAGCACGAAGGUUGGCUAAUCCUGGUCGGACAUCAGGAGGUUAGUGCAAUGGCAUAAGCCAGCUUGACUGCGAGCGUGACGGCGCGAGCAGGUGCGAAAGCAGGUCAUAGUGAUCCGGUGGUUCUGAAUGGAAGGGCCAUCGCUCAACGGAUAAAAGGUACUCCGGGGAUAACAGGCUGAUACCGCCCAAGAGUUCAUAUCGACGGCGGUGUUUGGCACCUCGAUGUCGGCUCAUCACAUCCUGGGGCUGAAGUAGGUCCCAAGGGUAUGGCUGUUCGCCAUUUAAAGUGGUACGCGAGCUGGGUUUAGAACGUCGUGAGACAGUUCGGUCCCUAUCUGCCGUGGGCGCUGGAGAACUGAGGGGGGCUGCUCCUAGUACGAGAGGACCGGAGUGGACGCAUCACUGGUGUUCGGGUUGUCAUGCCAAUGGCACUGCCCGGUAGCUAAAUGCGGAAGAGAUAAGUGCUGAAAGCAUCUAAGCACGAAACUUGCCCCGAGAUGAGUUCUCCCUGACUCCUUGAGAGUCCUGAAGGAACGUUGAAGACGACGACGUUGAUAGGCCGGGUGUGUAAGCGCAGCGAUGCGUUGAGCUAACCGGUACUAAUGAACCGUGAGGCUUAACCUU
rnacentral:rRNA from 1 species